rnacentral:rRNA from 1 species
UACGUAGGCAGCAAGCGUUGUUCGGAGUUACUGGGCGUAAAGCGUGCGUAGGUGGUUGUUUAAGUCUGUUGUGAAAGCCCUGGGCUCAACCUGGGAAUUGCAGUGGAUACUGGGCGACUAGAGUGUGGUAGAGGGUAGUGGAAUUCCCGGUGUAGCAGUGAAAUGCGUAGAGAUCGGGAGGAACAUCCAUGGCGAAGGCAGCUACCUGGACCAACACUGACACUGAGGCACGAAAGCGUGGGGAGCAAACAGG